UAUUUCUAUUUUACAAAUUUUUUUGAACUAAACAAGACCUUAGAUAUAAUAAUACUAAUAUAAGCAGCACAAAAGACGGGUGAUGCUUUUAACGAAGGAGAAGACAGAAGAUAGAUCCCUCAGCAUCAACUCAAUCCCUGCCUGAUUCAGCGCUUGCUGCAGGCCCCUCCCUCCACCGGUCCAGCAGCGUCCAGCGUUUUUUUCUUUUUUUUUGAAGCGGACGACGGAGGCCUUGUUUAGUUCGCAAAAUUUUUCAAUAUUCCCCGUCAAAUCGAAUCUUGCGGCACAUGCAUGAAGCAUUAAAUAUACAUGAAAACAAAAACAAUUUGUACAGUUCAUCUGUAAACCGCGAGAUGAAUCUUUUAGGCCUAAUUACUCUAUAAUUGGACAAUGUUUGUCAAAUAAAAACGAAAGUGCUACAGUGCCGUUUUUCACAUGUUUUUGCGAACUGAACAAGGCCGGAGUUAGCGCCGACACGCGCGGCAGCGAGCCAGCGACUGCCGACGAGGACAUGCAUGUCCCUUGGCGCCCCAGCCGGCGGGGAUACCGGCCGCUGCCUCUGGCAUUAGCAUUUUGGCAAAAUGGC
rnacentral:lncRNA from 1 species